rnacentral:rRNA from 1 species
AUGUCCAUGUCACCGCGGAAGGAGAUCUGGCCGAAGCCGCCGCUGUAUGGCCCGCGCAUCGUCACUUCCAUCUCAUCGAUCAGCUCCAUCGCUCUCACCUGGUGA